rnacentral:rRNA from 1 species
GACGAACGCUUGCGGCGUGCUUAACACAUGCAAGUCGAACGGAAAGGCCCUGCUUUUGUGGGGUGCUCGAGUGGCGAACGGGUGAGUAACACGAGAGUAACCUGCCCUUGACUUUGGGAUAACUUCAGGAAACUGGGGCUAAUACCGGAUAGGAGCUCCUGCUGCAUGGUGGGGGUUGGAAAGUUUCGGCGGUUGGGGAUGGACUCGCGGCUUAUCAGCUUGUUGGUGGGGUAGUGGCUUACCAAGGCUUUGACGGGUAGCCGGCCUGAGAGGGUGACCGGCCACAUUGGGACUGAGAUACGGCCCAGACUCCUACGGGAGGCAGCAGUGGGGAAUAUUGCACAAUGGGCGGAAGCCUGAUGCAGCAACGCCGCGUGCGGGAUGACGGCCUUCGGGUUGUAAACCGCUUUCGCCUGUGACGAAGCGUGAGUGACGGUAAUGGGUAAAGAAGCACCGGCUAACUACGUGCCAGCAGCCGCGGUGAUACGUAGGGUGCGAGCGUUGUCCGGAUUUAUUGGGCGUAAAGGGCUCGUAGGUGGUUGAUCGCGUCGGAAGUGUAAUCUUGGGGCUUAACCCUGAGCGUGCUUUCGAUACGGGUUGACUUGAGGAAGGUAGGGGAGAAUGGAAUUCCUGGUGGAGCGGUGGAAUGCGCAGAUAUCAGGAGGAACACCAGUGGCGAAGGCGGUUCUCUGGGCCUUUCCUGACGCUGAGGAGCGAAAGCGUGGGGAGCGAACAGGCUUAGAUACCCUGGUAGUCCACGCUGUAAACGGUGGGUACUAGGUGUGGGGUCCAUUCCACGGGUUCCGUGCCGUAGCUAACGCUUUAAGUACCCCGCCUGGGGAGUACGGCCGCAAGGCUAAAACUCAAAGGAAUUGACGGGGCCCCGCACAAGCGGCGGAGCAUGCGGAUUAAUUCGAUGCAACGCGUAGAACCUUACCUGGGUUUGACAUGGAUCGGGAGUGCUCAGAGAUGGGUGUGCCUCUUUUGGGGUCGGUUCACAGGUGGUGCAUGGCUGUCGUCAGCUCGUGUCGUGAGAUGUUGGGUUAAGUCCCGCAACGAGCGCAACCCUUGUUCACUGUUGCCAGCACGUUAUGGUGGGGACUCAGUGGAGACCGCCAGGGUCAACUCGGAGGAAGGUGGGGAUGACGUCAAGUCAUCAUGCCCCUUGUGUCCAGGGCUUCACGCAUGCUACAAUGGCUGGUACAGAGAGUGGCGAGCCUGUGAGGGUGAGCGAAUCUCGGAAAGCCGGUCUCAGUUCGGAUUGGGGUCUGCAACUCGACCUCAUGAAGUCGGAGUCGCUAGUAAUCGCAGAUCAGCAACGCUGCGGUGAAUACGUUCCCGGGGCU